AGUCGAGGGGCAGCAUGAACUUAGCUUGCUAAGUUUGAUGGCGACCGGCGCACGGGUGAGUAACACGUAUCCAACCUGCCGAUGACUCGGGGAUAGCCUUUCGAAAGAAAGAUUAAUACCCGAUGGCAUAGUUCUUCCGCAUGGUAGAACUAUUAAAGAAUUUCGGUCAUCGAUGGGGAUGCGUUCCAUUAGGUUGUUGGCGGGGUAACGGCCCACCAAGACUACGAUGGAUAGGGGUUCUGAGAGGAAGGUCCCCCACAUUGGAACUGAGACACGGUCCAAACUCCUACGGGAGGCAGCAGUGAGGAAUAUUGGUCAAUGGACGAGAGUCUGAACCAGCCAAGUAGCGUGAAGGAUGACUGCCCUAUGGGUUGUAAACUUCUUUUAUAUGGGAAUAAAGUUUUCCACGUGUGGAAUUUUGUAUGUACCAUAUGAAUAAGGAUCGGCUAACUCCGUGCCAGCAGCCGCGGUAAUACGGAGGAUCCGAGCGUUAUCCGGAUUUAUUGGGUUUAAAGGGAGCGUAGGUGGAUUGUUAAGUCAGUUGUGAAAGUUUGCGGCUCAACCGUAAAAUUGCAGUUGAAACUGGCAGUCUUGAGUACAGUAGAGGUGGGCGGAAUUCGUGGUGUAGCGGUGAAAUGCUUAGAUAUCACGAAGAACUCCGAUUGCGAAGGCAGCUCACUAGACUGCGACUGACACUGAUGCUCGAAAGUGUGGGUAUCAAGCAGGAUUA
rnacentral:rRNA from 1 species